GGAACAGUAGCAAAGAUGGUCAAUGCACCAGAUUGAAGAUCUGGCGAUACAGGUUCAAUUCCUGUCUGUUCCGCUA
rnacentral:tRNA from 1 species